rnacentral:rRNA from 1 species
AACGAACGCUGGCUGCAUGCCUAACACAUGCAAGUCGAACGAGACCUUCGGGUCUAGUGGCGCACGGGUGCGUAACGCGUUGGAACCUGCCCUUAGGUUCGGAAUAACUCCCCGACAGGGGUGCUAAUACCGGAUAAUGUCUUCGGACCAAAGAUUUAUCGCCUUUGGAUGGGCCCGCGUUGGAUUAGCUAGUUGGUAGGGUAAAAGCCUACCAAGGCGACGAUCCAUAGCUGGUCUGAGAGGAUGAUCAGCCACACUGGGACUGAGACACGGCCCAGACUCCUACGGGAGGCAGCAGUGGGGAAUAUUGGACAAUGGGCGAAAGCCUGAUCCAGCAAUGCCGCGUGAGUGAUGAAGGCCUUAGGGUUGUAAAGCUCUUUUACCCGGGAUGAUAAUGACAGUACCGGGAGAAUAAGCGCCGGCUAACUCCGUG